rnacentral:rRNA from 1 species
GACGAACGCUGGCGGCGUGCUUAACACAUGCAAGUCGAACGGUGAAGCGAGUGCUUGCACUCGUGGAUCAGUGGCGAACGGGUGAGUAACACGUGAGUAACCUGCCCAUCACUCUGGGAUAAGCACUGGAAACGGUGUCUAAUACUGGAUACGACCAACCCUUGCAUGGGGUGUUGGUGGAAAGAUUUAUCGGUGAUGGAUGGACUCGCGGCCUAUCAGCUUGUUGGCGGGGUAAUGGCCCUCCAAGGCGACGACGGGUAGCCGGCCUGAGAGGGUGACCGGCCACCAUGGGACUGAGACACGGCCCAGACUCCUACGGGAGGCAGCAGUGGGGAGUAUUGCACAAUGGGCGAAAGCCUGAUGCAGCGACGCCGCGUGAGGGAUGACGGCCUUCGGGUUGUAAACCUCUUUCAGCAGGGAAGAAGCGAAAGUGACGGUACCUGAAGAAGAAGCACCGGCUAACUACGUG